CAGCCUAAAUGGCACUUUACACUGCAUACAUUCACAGCAGUAAAUGCCAUUCAGGUUGAC
rnacentral:pre_miRNA from 1 species